UCCCUGCUAGCUCAGUGGUAGAGCGCUUCACUAGUACGCAUGAUGUAUUAUGAAGAGGUCAGUCGUUCAAGUCGGCUGCGGGGAA
rnacentral:tRNA from 2 species